rnacentral:rRNA from 1 species
GACGAACGCUGGCGGCGUGCUUAACACAUGCAAGUCGAACGGAAAGGCCCUGCUUUUGUGGGGUGCUCGAGUGGCGAACGGGUGAGUAACACGUGAGUAACCUGCCCUUGACUUUGGGAUAACUUCAGGAAACUGGGGCUAAUACCGGAUAGGAGCUCCUGCUGCAUGGUGGGGGUUGGAAAGUUUCGGCGGUUGGGGAUGGACUCGCGGCUGAUCAGCUUGUUGGUGGGGUAGUGGCUUACCAAGGCGUUGACGGGUAGCUGGCCUGAGAGGGUGACCGGCCACACUGGAACUGAGACACGGUCCAGACUCCUACGGGGGGCAGCAGUGGGGAAUAUUGGACAAUGGGCGCAAGCCUGAUCCAGCCAUACCGCGUGGGUGAAGAAGGCCUUCGGGUUGUAAAGCCCUUUUGUUGGGAAAGAAAAGCAGCAGGUUAAUACCCCGCUGUUCUGACGGUACCCAAAGAAUAAGCACCGGCUAACUUCGUG